GGAACGGCUUUCUAGCAGCAAGUAGUAUGUAAUCCCCAAGAUAGUGGUCUAGAUCAUACAACAUGUAAUCAGGUGCUACGUACUUUGAAGAUUGACCUUGGAGCCAUGUGCAUUAGUAUAGCUCCCAGCCUUCCAAAACUGUCGACAAAGCGGUGCUGAAGGCAAGGUUGAGGCUGGAGAAACGCCAGUAUCAUCUACAGGAGACUGAACCUGCUCUAACACACUAGAGCCAGUUUGGCCAGUGGUUAAGGUAUUUGGGCUUCUAUUCUCCUCACACUCUUGUCUACUAGAUUGGGUCGCGUACUUGUCUUUUCCUUGAGAUUCAACAGUCACAAGAUCUGGUUCCAGUUUAACAGCUUGCAUGCUAACCAUCUUAAGUUAUUCGGUCACUGCACAAAAACAUACUUGCUAAAAUCUCAGGAUGUGAAAAGGUAAAAACAACCAGAUGAGGGAGGCUCAAUGGUAAAGUCAGCAUCAACUAGCAUGGUGAAUUAUCUCUCUGAAGCCAGGAUGUAUGACAAAAGCAUCUCCAAAACCCGACAAGAAGAACACAAUAGAAGCACUUGAUAAGCUACCUAUCUUCUCAAAUUGUCACCGCACAAACAAGAAGAAGAAAAAUGAAAAUAAAUUGCAGAAAACAGCCUGUCAAUCAAGAACAGAGAGGAUACGAAUGAGUCAUACAAACGACAGCUCACAUUGACGAAGUCUUCCUAGCAAACACAAGCAGGCAGAGAAAAGCCACCGAAGAAGAAAAAAUACAGAGAAAAUGAAGAAGAACGGUGAAAUGCUUCUAACAGAAAUCCUACCAGUUGAAAUUGACACUGGUGAGAAAAAAGUAGUACGUCAAACUAGUUCCUAAACUCGAUCAGUAUUACCUAUCUUCCAUAUGCCGAGUGAAGACAAUAACAUCAGCUCCAAGCCUCAUGGUGCUGGUUUUGAAGCCAUUGCCAUCUGAAACACCACAUUCCACAGAAAUUUUAAAAAAAUAUAUAAAAAGGAAGAAUCUCAACGGAGUAUAUAGAAUCUUUGUUAAAAUGCAUACACUGUCCAAUAGAUCCAGCAGAUUUCUUAUCAGAGAAACCAAAACUCAUACAUCGCCGCAUUGCUUCAAGGUUCAUUCCCCCACCAUCAUCUAGUUCCAGAAAGACCAAGGGUUUUAUAGGACCAAGCAACGUCAUUCAUCUAUAAAUCGAGAAGAAAGAAAGAGCAUAUAGUCAUAAUGGGAUAUGGUCGACUUCAUAAAAAGGGAUACCUUGAAUAAGUAAUGCGGGAAGCCCAUCUCUUGGACUUGAGAUUUUAUCUACAAUGACAAAACUGGCGCCAUUUUGUAUCUAUCCAAAUGAUAGGAAAAUCAUACCAGUAAGAGGGGAAACAUCAAAAUCAUAUUUCGCAUUUCAGAUUUGCAAGUUCCGAAACUGUACAUGUUGGAGAAGGCCUCGGCAAAGAAAGUUGAAACAGUUAACAACUGAGGAGCUAGGAUGAAAAUAUUACCUCAUCAAUGGCAUUGUCAAGCAAUUCUGCAAUUGCUGAAAGUGGUCGAAAGAGAAAAAUAAGAUGCAGACAAAUGAACAUGCUGCGAGAUGAAAGAAACUAACUAAAAUAUUCCAGUAUCCGCACAUACCACCAAAUGCCCAUUUAUGCGAAGUGGCAUUUGAAUGAAGAAACAUGGGGUGAACAUGGAGGUAAGUUUUUCCACCUAGCAUCCAUAAGAACCAAAGCACAAAAGUCAGAUGGAAAAAAAAGAGUGAACACUAAGUGAUAGUUGCUUAGUGAAAGAUGCACUCUUCAAAUCAGCAUUCAAGGAAGCACAAAAGGUAUCAUCGCCUAGCAAACUCAAGUGAAAGUACCAAAGUGCAUGGAACGGCUUUCUAGCAGCAAGUAGUAUGUAAUCCCCAAGAUAGUGGUCUAGAUCAUACAACAUGUAAUCAGGUGCUACGUACUUUGAAGAUUGACCUUGGAGCCAUGUGCAUUAGUAUAGCUCCCAGCCUUCCAAAACUGUCGACAAAGCGGUGCUGAAGGCAAGGUUGAGGCUGGAGAAACGCCAGUAUCAUCUACAGGAGACUGAACCUGCUCUAACACACUAGAGCCAGUUUGGCCAGUGGUUAAGGUAUUUGGGCUUCUAUUCUCCUCACACUCUUGUCUACUAGAUUGGGUCGCGUACUUGUCUUUUCCUUGAGAUUCAACAGUCACAAGAUCUGGUUCC
rnacentral:lncRNA from 1 species